GGCAGCAGCAGCAGCAGCGGCGGCAGCAGCAGCCCGGGCCGGCCCCGCGCCGCCUCCAUCUUGCGACCCGGGAACGAAAACAAAAGUUCUUCAGACUAGGAGAGAGGGAAACUUGACGAGCGCUCAAACCCACGGGCAAAGAGGAACGCACCGGGUCUCCGGGUCCUUGUAUUUCACGAGUUCAGCUGGAAGAGACCUUCAGACAACAUUGAGUCCGACUGCCUGACCACUUCAGGGAUCCGUGACUCAAAUCGACUCAUUGUGCAGUGAGUACCAGGGCUUGACCCAGAAAGAGAUGAAAAUUGUGCGGCCUGAAGUCAUAGAACCACAGAAUCGUUAAGGUUGGAAAAGACCUCCAAGAUCGUCUGGUCCAACCAUCCUCCUACCACCAGUGUCACCCACUAAACCAUGUCCCUGAGCACCACGUCUAACCUUAAACACCCCCAGGGACUGUGACUCUACCACCUCCCUGGGCAACCCAUUCCAAUGCCUGACUAUUUCUGAGAAGAAGUGUAUCAAUAUUAUGAAAAUAUGAAGCCAUCGGUUCAUACACUUCCUUAUGAUAAUAUUGCAUAUUGAUUAUAGCAGUAUCAUGCUAUUAAUA